GGCCUGUGAUGUCAAAAAUUUGUCCGUACCAUCUGAGACUUUUUUCGUCAUCUCUGAUGCAUAAAUUUCAUUUCUAGUUUUCUGAGGCCU
rfam:Morus notabilis contig10321, whole genome shotgun sequence.